rnacentral:lncRNA from 1 species
AUUAAGUACAGAAUUUCACAGAAUUUACAGAAUUUAACAAGGAAAACAUUUAAGUUUUAAAUAUUGAUGGAAAUUAAAAUUAAAAUUAAACACACAUUUUUAAAAUUUACGAGUUGGAAAGGUUUAAGGAGCAUUUCGAAUGCUUUAAAAGGUUAAAUUUGAGUAACAAACUCAAGACAUAUCGUAAUGAAAAACAAAUGAAAAAUUUUUGUAUACAGGUAGCACAAAAUUCUGGAAAAGAAGUAAAAAUGUUGGCACAAACAGGAAAUUUUGACGCAGGAAAAAUUGAAAAAUUCAAAAGGAAAAUCGCUGAAAUUUUUUUUUUUUUGUUAGGAAGAUCUCUCUUGAUGGGAAGGGGGGGGGGGGGAAAGAAAGUUUUAAACACGUUUUUUUAGUACCUCACCAAUCUUCACACUUCACACGUCUCCAAACGCGGGGAAAGUUUCUGUCGAAGGGGAGGGGCGUUCCACCAAUCUAUGUUUUAUUUGACCCAUAGAUAGGUCCUUGGGGUCAGGAGUGGCCAUGUGAAGCAAAAUUCGAGGCUCCAAUCGGGGAUUUCCCAGCAUGGUCUUCGAUUUUGGUGCUUCUGAAAGCAAUGGCGUCUGAAACUCUUUGCCGUCUUUGCGAUCUUUUUGCACUUUUUGGGUUCUCCGGGCCCAGCUGAGUGCGGAGAUUGCAAGUACGUCGUUGGGUUCGAUGAAAUUGGAGCGAGAUCUGAUGGAGUCUCAGCUCGUGAAGGUAAAUUUAUCUUGGUGGGGGGGGGGGGGGAUGAAAAUUGAAUUAUGGAAUUGGAAUUAUUCAUGUAUAUUCAUGAUUUCGAAAAGUAUUUUGAAUACUAACUUUGGUCAUGAGAGUUUCCCGCGCGUCUAGAGACUUGCGAGGCGCGAAGAUCAAUGAAGACUAAUAAUUUUUAAUAAGAUAUUUAAAAUGGUUAAUAACAAAAUAUUUGGAAUAAUGGGGGGGGGGGGGUUGUGUUUGCGCUUGUUAAUACGUCAUUUCCUGACUUCAUGUUUAAAAACUUGAUGCUAAUUUUCAUUCACUUACUUUCAUUCACUUAC